GGAACACAUGAGAAAAAAAAAUCGUAAAAACAAAUUCGUAAUUUGUGAAAUUAGCAGGAAUAUACGAAAACAAAUUUUUUUACACAUUACAUAAAAUGGCAAGCUCGAUAAUAGUUGCUGGCAUAGGUCUAGCUGCAGUUGGUUUUGCGGGGAAGCAUCUCAUGCGCCGCAUGCCUGCUAUGGCCACAAAAUUAAGCGAAACUAUGAAAAAUCUACCCAAAUUUGACGCAGAAACCUUGGCGAACUCGAAAUACUACAAAGGAGGCUUCGAUCCAAAAAUGAAUAAGCGUGAGGCUUCUCUGAUUUUGGGCGUAAGUCCUAGUGCGUCCAAAUUGAAGAUAAAAGAUGCACACAAGAAGAUCAUGUUGCUCAAUCAUCCCGAUCGUGGGGGUUCUCCUUACUUGGCUGCCAAGAUAAACGAAGCAAAAGAUUUCAUGGACAAUACGAAAUAAGCGAACCGGUAAGGGCAAAUUCUUCACGCGAGGCAACAUUGUGCGGCCCCAACUUUCGCUGUAGCCAAAAUUUUGUUGACGUUGUCAAACGUCAAACACGUACGACAAGUGGUUGGAGCAAGCAGUCCACCGAUAGUUCAUUUAUUUUCAUUAUUUUUUCCUACAUUGUCCACCUAUUUUACUAAAUCCUCGUUAAACCAUUCACAAGCCCCCAUUUGCCAGCGAAAUGCGACAGCUACGCGGUAAAGUGAAGGAGACACGCAAACAGAAGAAGGAGCGCAAAAUGGAGAAUAUGGCCAUACAAAAUCAGCUUAAGACGGUAGUCCUGCCCGCAGUUUGCGUAUUUGCGUUGCUCAUCAUUGUCUUUGUGUACAUCAAAACGCGUCCAGCCGUCGAAAUGUAAAUAAAUUGCAUCACAACCGUAUGUGUAUACAUAUGUUAGUGCCAGUGGCAGCCUUCUAUGGCGUAAAUUAAACUAGCCUUCAAGCGUUCUGGCUACCAACACCAAAAAUGUAAAUUUUGAAAACUACUUGUUGCAGCAACAUAAUUGCGGUACCAAUUUUAGACACAUCCGGUUUUUACAGGUGUUGAAUUUUUAGAAUUUAGAGCAGCAAAUUUCUAGUUUUGGUUUGAAAAUGCUAAUUUUUUAGCAAUUAAUAUGUGGCUGGAGCACCUUAAGUUUCCUUUUACACAAAUUUAGUACUUUUUUUUUAUUAAAUGUAGGAGCAUACAAAUUAUAUAUUUUUUAAUUCAGUAAAUUAUAUGCUCAAAUAUCCAUACCACAACUUGUUGAAUGUCUACUGUUCUAGAAAUACUAUGUAUGCGUAUAUACAUAUGUAUGUGAAAAAACUGCUGUGCAAAUACAUAACUAAUAGGCUGGCGGCUCUGUAACGCCCUUUUUCACUUCCUAUUUUUUAGUAAUUUUAUAUACACAAAUGUACGUGGAUGAAUUUAAAAUGUUAUUUAUUUAGCAUGCACGUACAAACGACUAUUGAAUUAUGUUAUAUCUUGAUAUUUUGUAUUAGUCUUGAGAAAAUCAAAUAAAUACAUAUGCAUACA